AUUGUCAACGGUCUGAUGCCCUUCGCAAAAAUCAAAUACCGAUUUUCGGUACGAUUUUCGGUGAAAUUCGCUAGCGAAACGCAGUUUCGGUUCAGAUUUCAUCCGACAGUGUUAGAAUACCCUGAGUUUUGUUGCUGAGCCUUGUUGGCUGGUCACCAUAGCCAUCUCGAGAGUUUGGAGAUGACGAGUGAGCGACGGUGGGUUCCGUUGUCGAAAUUGACAUUUCCGGGAAUCCGGAUCCGAACGAUUAUCCGACGAUAAUUGUUCUGAUGUGUGUCCUUGUGUUUGCUG
rnacentral:lncRNA from 1 species